CCGCGCAUGCUCACUCCGAGCCCGCGGUUUGCGCUGUGAGGUGGUUUUGCCGGGGGCUGCGACGGGUUCCGGGCGCUUCUGCGCGGUCGGCUCCGGCCUAGGCGUCCCGGGCUGCGCGGGGCUCGGCGCUGCGCGUUGUCCGGUGGCGUCUCGGUCCGGAUCUUCUCCAGAGGAGGAGCGGCGCGCCCCAGACCUGCGCUCCUGGGAGACUCGGGGCCCCCUUUGAGAGACCUGAGCGCGGACAGAAAUGGCCACCCGGUGAAUGAGCAAAGCGCAAGGAAAACCGUGCGGGCCCAAGGACUUGCAAGAGCCCUUUCUCCUCGUAGUCCUCAACCUGGUCAACUGUCCAAGCCCCACCUCUGGAGUCGAGUCCUGCCUCCUCCCUCAGGAACACUCUCUCGGUCUCUGCCAUUCAGAGGCAGUGAUUGGCAGAUCACAUCCUGUGGUCAGUCUGAAAAUGGUUGGGAACCCAAGACAGGUUGGAGUACAAUGGCAUCAUCUCUGCUUACUGCAACCUCCGCCUCCCGGGUUCAAGUGAUUCUCCUGCCUCAGCCUCCUGGGUAGCUGGGAUUACAGGUAUGCGCCACCGUGCCCAGCUUAUUUUUUGCAUUUUUAGUAGAGACGGUAUUUCUCCAUGUUGGUCAGGCUGGCCUGGAACUCCUGACCUCAGGUGCUCUGCCUGCCUCGGCCUCCCGAAGUGCUGGGAUUACAGGCGUGAACCAACGUACUCGGCAACUUUCUUUGAGUUCUAUUUGAAUAAAGGUGUUAUUAAUGUGUUCCAAAAUGUUAUUAAAUUCCUAAAAUUCUGCUGUAUCUUGCUAUAAGUCAUAAGUAUUAUGUUAAAUUGUUGUAUGUCACACAAAAAAACAAAUUUCCUUGUCAAUUUCAUCUUUAACUAUCAUUAUUCCAAGUCAUCUGUCUCCCACAGUCAAGUAUUGUUUUACUUUGAUUCUUUUUAAAAAGCAGCUCGUAAUUAACUACAGUUCAAGACUUGCUUCUCCCUCGAGGAAAGUCAUGUGAAGUACCCUGACAAGUACUUUUGAAUACAGGUUUCUGGUAACUUUGGAGAUCAUACCACUGGACUAGGUAAAAAAAACUUUCCAGGACUCUAAUAAAAACACACACAAACACUGAUGGGUUCAUGACGACUGACAACCUAGCAUGAAGCAGAACAAGAGUUAAUCACAUGGACUGAACUGACACAGCACUAAAAUUAUCAUAAUUAAUAUUUGAGAUGGAGUCUCACUCUGUUGCCCAGGCUGGAGUGCAGUGGUGCUAUCUUUGGCUCACUGCAACCUCUGCCCCCUGGGUUGGAGCAAUUCUCCUGCCUCAGUUUCCCAAGUAGCUGGGAUUACAGGUGUGUGUGCCACCAUGCCUGACUAAUUUCUGUAUUUUUAGUAGAGAUAGGGUUUUGCCAUGUUGGCCAGGCUGGUCUUCAACUCCUGACCUUAGGUGAUCCUCUUACCUUGGACUCCCAGAGUGUUGGGAUUACAGGCAUGAGCCACUGUGCCUGGCCUGAAAUAAAUUUUUUUAUGACUUUGUUUGAAGCAUUGUUGAUUUUUUUUUCCUUCUUUUGAGAUGAAGUCUCACUCUGUCGCCCAGGCUGGAGUGCAGUAAUGUGGUCUGGGCUGACUGCAACCUCCACCUCCUGGGUUUAAGUGAUUCUCCUGCCUUAGCCUCCCGAGUAGCUGAGAUUACUGGUGUGCACCACCACACCUGGCUAAUUUUUGUAUUUUUAGUAGAUACAGCAUUUUGCUCUGUUGACCAGGCUGGUCUGGAACUCCUGACCUUGUGAUCUGCCCGUCUUGGCCUCCCAAAGUGUUGGGAUUCCAGGUGUGAGCCACUGCACCUGGCCUGUUGAUUCUUUUUAUGGUUUGUUUUCCAGAGUCAAGAAAACAUUUUUUCUCUUAAGCUGUUAUAGCUUAUAGCAAUUGGGUAAAUUAAACUUUUGUGAGCAAAAUGGAAACAUUUACCUUUCUUUUUACCUGAUUUCUCCGAAUUCAGGAACUAUUUGUGAGUUUUUCUGUUUUGUGGCAAUAUAGUUAUUUUCAUAAGUUCAAAAAGCAUCUGUUUUCUGGCUGGGUGUGGGGGCUCAUGCCUGUAAUACUAGCACUUUGGGAGGCUGAGAUUGGAGGAUUGCUUGAGCAUGGGAGUUUAAGACCAGCCUGGGCAACAUAGUGAGACCCCAUCUAUAUUUUAAAAAAAUUUUUUAAAAGGCCAGGUGUGGUGGCCCAUGCCUGUAAUCCCAGCACUUUGGGAGGCCAAAGUGGGUGGAUCACCAGAGGUCAGGGGUUCAAGACCAGCCUGGCCAACAUGGUGAAACCCCAUCUCUACUAAAAAAAUACAAAAAUUAGCUGGGCGCAGUAGCAGGCACCUGUAAUCCCAGCUACUCAGGAGGCUGAGGCAGGAGAAUCUCUUGAACCUAGGAGGUGGAGAUUGUAGUGAGCCACUGCACUCCAGCCUGAGCAACAGAGCGAGACUCUGUCUCUAAAAAAAAAAAAAAAAAAGAGUCUGAGAUUCCUUUUUUAAAAACAUUUUAUUUAUUAUAUUUUAAGUUCUGGGAUACAUGUGCAGAUCAUGCAGGUUUGUUACAUAGGUAUACACGUGCCAUGGUGGUGGUUUGCUGCAUCCAUUUCCCCAUCAUCUAUAUUAGGUAUUUCUCCUAAUGCUAUCCCUCCCCAAUACCCCCACCCCCUGCUAUUCCUCCCCUAGCACCCCGCUCCUCAGUCCCCAGUGUGUGAUGUUCCCCUCCCUGUGUCCAUGUGUUCUCAUUGUUCAACACCCACUUGUGAGUGAGAACAUGCGGUGUUUGGUUUUUCUCUUCUUGUAUCAGUUUGCUGAGAAUGAUGGUGGUUUCCGGUUUCAUCCAUGCCCCUGCAAAGGAAAUGAACUCAUCCUUUUUAUGGGUGCAUAGUAUUCCAUGGUGUAUAUGUGCCACAUUUUCUUUAUCCAGUCUAUCAUUGAUGGGCAUUUGGGUUGGUUCCAAGUCUUUGCUAUUGUGAACAGCGCCAUAAUAAACUCAGAUUCCUUAUGAAAAAGUUCUGGCAAAGCCAACUUUAAAAGAUCCUGUAUGGCCAGUCACUAUUCUCACUGUACUUUAUGCAAAUAAUCAGGCCAAUUAUAAUAAGACUAAAACUUAUUUUGCAAAUCUUUUGGUCUGACUAUAAUUUAUCUUGUGGAAAAGGGGGACUUAGGGAGAAAAAUUGUGUUUUAGAAGAAAACUAUAGUACACCUGUGAUUGGAUUCUGAACUGAUUGUUGUUUGUGAGUUGUUAUCAUUUGCCUAUAGUUUGGACUGAAUCCUGCUUUCUUUCCUAGCUCCAGGUCUCUAAACUAAUACUGUCAAAUUUUUCUCCCAUUUUUCUGAUUUAAAACCAUUGGAAAUUAAAACAGCUUUUCUUGAAGCCCUGCAGCUGAAUCUAGAGGACUUAAAAACUUAAGGAGAAAUCAUCACAGGAACUUAUAUAUAAACAGCCUUUGUUCCUGUUGAUAUAUGGACUACUUAGAAAGUUCACUUGAACACCCCGUUAGAGCUAUGAUCCAGGAAAAUCUGUCAAAUUGCCAUUGCAAUCUGAAAUGCUCCAGAUGCUUUGGAUUGAGGCAGGCUGUAAAAGCUACUCUACGGAUGAUUCCAGAUAUUCGCCUUUUUUUUUUUUCCUUCUGUUUCCAUAGAAUUGUCUCUUGUUAAAGAUCUGUUUGUGUGAAUUAUAUACAAAGCCCCAGCCCGUCUGUAGUGCCACAGCUUGGAAUGGGACACAGCUGUUUAACUGAGCUGAUCUAGUCUCAGGACUAAGAGACUGAUUCAAGAAAAUACAGCAUGAUACACCUAUGUUUUUUUAGAGAGACAGGGUCUCACUCAGUUACCCAGGAAGUGGCACGAUCACAGCUCUCUGCAGCGUUGACUUCCCAGGCCCAGGUCAUCCUUCUGCAUCAGCCUCCCAAGUAGCUGGAACCACAGGCACAUACCAUGCCUGGCUAAUUUUUUUAUUUUUUGUAGCAAUAGGGUCUCCUUGUGUUGACCAGGCUGGUCUGAACACCAGGGCUCAAGUGAUCCUCCUGCUUCAGCCUCCCAAAGUGCUGAGAUUACAGCUGUGAGCCACAGUGCCCUACCAGGAUGACAUUUAAAUUUGUCCUUUUCUGUUUAUCUCGAUUCGUUUUUCCCCACCUUUGCCUAUCUCUCAUCUAACAAUCUCUAACUCAAAUCUCUUCAAAGCUAUCAACUUUCCUUUUCCUAUGGGAAACUUUCUGAAAGUAAAGUCUCAAAGUGGGGACUGAAGAAAACCAAAAUAUUUUGCCCCAAAAUGUAUUUCCAUGACCAGGCGUCACACCCGUAAUCCCAGCACUCUGGGAGGCUGUGGUGGGCAGAUCACCUGAGGCCAGGAGUUCAAGACCAUCCUGGUCAACAUGAUGAGACCCUGUCUAUACCAAAAAUACAAAAAUUAGCCAGUCAUGAUGGUGCACACUUGUAUUCCCAGCUACACAGGAGGCUGAGGCAGGAGAAUCGCUUCAACCCAGGAGGCAGAGGUUGCAGUGAGCUGAGAUUGUACCACUGCACUCCAGCCUGGGCAACAGAGUGAGACCCUGCCUCAAACAAAAAAGUAUUUCCUUGACAUGGCUCAAGACAGUUACUCAGAAGGACUGGAAAUAGAGUAGCUAGAAAAGCUGUCUUUUGUGGGGGAGAUUUGUAUCUGUGGAGAGAAUCUACUGAUGAGGCUAGGCCUUCUCUGAGGCCCUCCCUUGCCUGAUGCAGAAGAGUAACAGUCUGACUCCUUUAAAGGUCUGAAGGGAACGUUCACCGUCUAUUGUCUCUGAGGGCUGCUACCUGUGAGGUUUCAUCUAUAGAACAAGGCCACCUUUGCUAGCCAGGCCCCCAUCCUCUCCCUCCUGUAACUGGUCUUGCUGCUGUAACCUGAUUUUCCACCAUAACCUGUUUAUGGCCAUGCUUUGAGUCCCCGUUCUUUCUGUAACCUCAAGAUGGUAUAUAAGCUUCUGAAUCCCAUUGGGAGGUUGGGGUCAUCACUCUGGUUCUCACUGUGUGUGUGAAUAAACCUGUAUGCCUCUUGUCUUA